AGCAAACCACCCGAUAUACUUGUUCUCGCGUCGAUGGAUCGCGUGGUGGAUGUGAUGCGCAAUCACGAUGACUGCAUCGUACACCUCCUGUGGAGUCCGGAUGGAAAGCAACUGGCAAGUGUAGGGUAUGAUGAAACGCUCACGAUUUGGAACUUCUUCGGUACCUCACCCACAAACGAAUGCAAGAAGAGGAAGCUGCAAUGCGAACCGCCGGUCAGUAGCGGUAGCUCACGGACCGAUGGAAGAGCGUGUGGCAAUGCUGGCAGUUCCUGGGACGCAUCUCGCAUGCCCGUGCAACCGUAACAAAGAAGCCACCUAUCGUGAUCUGGCCUCGAGUUUUCUUUU